UGGAGAGCAAGGUUGAUAGAUUAUCUCGCCAUGAUGUUACUUUGCCUAUUAAUAAACAAAUGAUCAUUAUUAUAGCUGGAUAGGCGAGUUACCCGAGAAACUCUCGUCACGGAGCGGUUGAAGGAAAGUGAAAUAUGGCAGCGUCAGAAUUUGCUUCAAAAUUCUAAUAAAAGAACGAGCCGAGAUAGUUCGUCAAAGAUGAAAUCCCAAUCUAAUUCACCGGCGAUAUCGGACAAUUCCAUUCAAGUAUUUAUUUCUAAUAACAUUUUGAUUAUUGUUUUUCUGUAAUAUAUUAAAAGGUGUAAGUAUUAAAUGUAUAUUCCUAGACCUCGAGAAGGCUCUCGAACAGCGAUCAUCCAUUUACAAAAGAAACUAUAGCGAUAAAUGGCUCUGUGGUGACUAGUGGAAAUUUAAAUUUGCAACAUUUGAGUUUAAGUUGUAAGUUUUCAUUAUGUCAUAUAUAUAUAUCAACUAAUUUCUGUUGAACAUGAAUUAUCGCUGCAAAUUACGUAUUUACACCUAGUUAAUCGAUUGACGAAUAAGACUGUGAAAAAUUUGGUAGCGUGUCUGCAUUAUCAAAACUAUAUGCUAUUAAGCGAUUGCAGCAGAGGGUUGCUACAUGUAUUUUUGGAGGGUAACGAUAUCAAAAAGAACCAAGAUUGGACAACAUUUCAAGAACUUUUGUGUCGCAGACGACAGAGCAAUCAGACGAUACGAGAUGCGGACUUUGAGGACUUUAAGGAUUCGGUGGAAAGCGAAAUCUUACGGAGCAA